CCGUGCUAGGCGGGGAGCUAGCGGUGCCCUGUACCCGCAAUCCGCUCAAGCGGGGCUGAAUUCCCGUCCGAGGGGUUGUCUCUCCGGGGACUGCCUUCGCAAAGCGGCGUUGACGAUCUGGUCCUGCGCGGCGGAGCACUACGAACCUGGUCAGGUCCGGAAGGAAGCAGCCAUAAGUAGAACGCUCCGGGCGCCGCAGACUCACCGGGUCCGAGUUGGCUCGCGCGGUGCAAGCCUGGUAUUCACUCCAAAGACGGGUGCACGG
rnacentral:SRP_RNA from 1 species